rnacentral:lncRNA from 9 species
CCAGGAGCCCAUGUUUAUGCCCAGAGGACUUUGAGGGCUUAGCUCAGGGAUUCUGGAGCAUGCCUAUACUGAGAGAGGCCCUCACUCACUAUAAAGUUUCCUCCGUAGGACAGGACAGACCUGGGUCCCAGGGACACGAUGGGACUCCAAUCACCUUCUUUAGUCCCAGGGCCUAUGCUGUGAUAUUGCCAAAGUGAGGGCCGGGCGGGGGUCAUAUAUUAGAAAACUAAGGAUGUAUGGACAGCGGAAAUGAGACAGUGUAGAAAGAAAAGACGCAAAUGAGGAGAGAAGAGACAGUCGCCUCUGCUUUGCUGAGAAGUUUUCCAAAGUGUCAUUCUCCAUUCUCGCCACAAAGAAACACGACAGAGCACGUACGAUUACGACAGGACUCUGAUAAGAACGGAUCUUAAGGACAGUGAGAUCUUGCUUCUCAACCGGAGUUCAGCGACACCUCAGGAGGAUGCCUUCUCUCAAUGACACCCCGUUCCAUCCCCCCUUCUUUCACCUGCUGGGAAUACC